AUGAAAAACUUCACAGACAGCCAAAAAAAACAAAAAAUGGAACACCAUAUUAUUCUGUGACAUACCCAAAAUUUAAAUCAGGGGAUGAAGUAGUAAGAACUGUUUCUUCAGCACCAUCAUAUUUUGUGAGGAAUCCAUGGACAACAUAUUUAAGAAGUAUAAGGAAAAGUCCGAGAAGCCUUAAACAAAACUUUCUCGGAUCGAAUUUCCAAAACUGAGGCAAUCCAACGGCAUUUGGAUAGGAAACAACUAUCUUCAACACCAUUGUUUCCCACAUAUCAACAGCAAGAUGUACUGCAAGCAAAAGGUUUAGACAAAGAAAAACAAGCUGCUUCAACAGGUCCUUCAGAUC